GAUGAACGCUGGCGGCGUGCCUAAUACUUGCAAGUCGAGAGAACAGACGAGGAGCUUGCCCCUCUGACGUUAGCGGUGGACGGGUGAGUAACACGUGGAUAACCUACCUAUAAGACUGGGAUAACUUCGGGAAACCGGAGCUAAUACCGGAUAACAUGUUCAACUGCAUGGUUCAACAGUGUAAGACGGUCUUGCUGUAACUUAUAGAUGGUUCCGCGCCGCAUUAGCUAGUUGGUAAGGUAACGGCUUACCAAGGCAACGAGGCGUAGCCGCCCUGGGAGGGUGAUCGGCCACACUGGAACUGAGACACGGACCAGACUCCUACGGGAGGCAGCAGUAGGGAAUCUUCCGCAAUGGGCGAAAGCCUGACGGAGCAACGCUGCGUGAGUGAAGAAGGUCUUCGGAUCGUAAAACUCUGUUAUUAGGGAAGAACAAAUGUGUAAGUAACUAUGCACGUCUUGACGGUACCUAAUCAGAAAGCCACGGCUAACUACGUGCCAGCCGCCGCCGUAA
rnacentral:rRNA from 1 species